rnacentral:rRNA from 1 species
UUGGAGGGCAAGUCUGGUGCCAGCAGCCGCGGUAAUUCCAGCUCCAAUAGCGUAUAUUAAAGUUGUUGCCGUUAAAAAGCUCGUAGUUGAACCUUGGGCCUGGCUGAUCUGUCCUCCUAAUCGAGCGCACGGAUUCGGUCGGGCCUUUCCUUCUGGGGAGCCCGAUGUCCUUCACUGGGUGUCGCGGGGAACCAGGACUUUUACCUUGAAAAAAUUACGAGUGUUCAAAGCAGGCCUUUGCUCGAAUACAUUAGCAUGGAAUAAUAGAAUAGGACAG